rnacentral:rRNA from 1 species
AUUGAACGCGGGCGGCAGGCUUAACACAUGCAAGUCGAGCGAGCGGCGGACGGGUGAGUGAUGUCUGGGAAACUGCCUGAGGGAGGGGGAUAACUACUGGAACCGGUAGCUACUACCGCAUACCAUCAGAUGUGCCCAGAUGGGAUUAGCUAGUAGGUGGGGUAAUGGCUCACCUAGGCGACGAUCCCUAGCUGGUCUGAGAGGAUGACUGGCCAAACUGGAACUGAGCUACGGUCCAGACUCCUACGGGAGGCAGCAGGGGGGAAUAUUGCACAAUGGGCGCAAGCCCGAUGGAGCCAUGCCGCGUGUGUGAAGAAGGCCUUCGGGUUGUAAAGCACUUUCAGCGAGGAGGGGUUACUCGCAGAAGAAGCACCGGCUAACUCCGGGCCAGCAGCCGCGGUAAUAC